GCCUGGGUGGCUCAGUCGGUGAAGCGUCUGACUUCGGCUCAGGUCACGAUCUCGCGGUUCGUGGGUUCGAGCCCCACGUCGGGCU
rnacentral:tRNA from 1 species